UGGGAGAUAGAAACACUUUUCGUGUGUGUUCUGACAUAACAAACAUUUAACUCAUGACUGAUCAGCUGUUUCUGCACUGCAGGUCAAGACGAGCUGAUAUGAAAGAAAAAUUGUAAGUUUCCCAAUUAAAUCCAAUUCCUGAAGACUUCUCUCCAUUUUCUCUCAAGGGUCUUUUGUGCCUGGGAGAGUUUUCAAAUCACGUCCUUCAGAAGAAUGAUUCUGAUGAUGAGGAUGGAGGUCGAGACGGACAACAUGGACACAAAAAAUUCUAGAUUCUGACCCAGAGUUGCCCUGUCUGUCCAUGCUCCUCAUGCAGUGGUGGUUCUACACAGGGGCCUCCAGGGGCCACUGCCCCUGUGAAGAAGCCCUUGGCCCCUGCUGUGGCCCCUGUGUCAAAUUAAUAAUAAAGUGAUGAAAAACGAUGAACGACAGAACAAUUCUUACCUAUUUUUUGUUCAAACAAUACCUCAUUGUUGACAAAGGGAACCCAGAAUGUGUACAUUGUUUCAUAGUUUAAUUGUUCAAUAAAAGCUUGUGAAAAUAUAAAAUAAGGUCAUUUUUACUGUCCUGCACUUCCAAAACAUAAAAAAGCUAAUGGUGCACAAAAAUGAGAAAAUGUCAUUGUUGUACAAAAAUAAUUGUUCUUGUUGGUAAGUCUCAUUGUAUUUGUAUCUUCCAAACAUACUUAAAUGAGAUGUUUAAAUAAGCUAAAAUAAAGGUUUUGAUUGCUUAAA